rnacentral:rRNA from 1 species
UAACGGCCGCGUUAGCGUGAGCGUGCUAAGGUAACGUAAUAAAUAGCCUUUUAAUUGGAGGCCAGUGAACGGCAACACGGAAAACACCUGUAUCACACAUAUUAGUGGGGUUUUAUUUUUGGGUGAAAAGCCCAAAUAAUCCAAGGAAGACAAAAAGACCCGCGGAGCUUCACUUUAUUGGGCUAAGCAAAUCCUACAGAUUAAGCCAUGCUUACAAGUUUGGUUGGGGCAACCCUGGAAUCACCAAAGCUUCCAGUCAUAAUUAAGAAACGCAUCAAAAACGUCUUCGGACCAAAAAGCAGUUACCCCGGGGAUAACAGCGUAAUCCAACUCAAGAGUACACAUCGAAAGUUGGGUUUGCGCGACCUCGAUGUUGGCUUAAG